rnacentral:lncRNA from 1 species
ACCAGGUAAGAGGACGUUCCAGAGGGAGAGCAGUGUGAUUGUACAGUAAAUCAGAAAAUGUUUUACCCUGAGGCCAGCUUAUUCUAGAGAGGGGCCAUUAAGGAAGGGCUAUAUGCUAGCUCUGACUAGGCAUUUCAGGAUCAAAUUUCAGGAGCCAGGGGAAAGGAGAGAAUUUUAACCGUAGUUUGAUCAUUUCCAGAAAGCAGGUAUUUUGUACAAAUUGACUAGUGGAUACGAGGAGUUCGUCUAAUCAGUUACCAUUUACGGGACAAAGAACGGGGAUUUGGAAUGUCUUAAUCUGGCCCUAACAAAGAGACCUUGGCUGAUAGAAGCUCCACCGUCUGGAAGCUUCGGGUUCUGGAACAUGUGACCACCUCAGACUCCAUAGCACUAGAGAAUCUGCUGACAUUUAUAUCAUGGAUCAUCUUCUUACAGCCAUUGGCUGGAACAAGACCAUCUGUAACCUCACGGAGUCUGCAAAAUAUGGAGAAAUUGCUGAAAGGUUAGAUGAGCACCACUCUCUCUGCCCCAAGUAAGAAGAAGUAGAAUUUGGACUCUAGAUUACUUACUCAAGUCCCCUUAGCUAAGCCGUUGUAUUCAUUCCUAAGAAAAUUUUGCCAAUGUAAUAUGUGUGUGUGUGUACAUGUGUACGUGUGUGUGUGUCUCAGAGGCAGCAAACUGUGCCAAAAAGUAUAUUCACCCUUCUUCCUGAGCACACAAUUGGAAUCUAAAAUUUCAGCAAUAAAAUUAAAGAACUGACAUGUGCCACUUCUGGGCCAAAGCUUAUAUUAGGCACAGAUGCUCCUUCAUGCUUUCUUUUCUCUUCUGGACCCCGGUUGCACAACAUGAUGAAGUACUUGAGCAGGACAGAGGUACAGAAGCACCACAUGGAGGACAGACACCUGGACAUUAGGAACAUCCAAUUUGGACUCUUGUUUUGAGGACUUCUAGUAAACACUCAUUUUUUUACUUGAGCCAUUUUAAAUUUGGAUAUAUUUGACACAUUAUUUUGCAUACUAUUGUUGAACCAUUUUAAAUUAUUGAUAUUUGAAUAUUUGUGACAUAAAAAAUAAAAAUUUUAUGUGGUUUAACAUAAUAA